GCAGCCGCCACGGUAAUACGUAGGUGGCAAGCGUUGUCCGGAAUUAUUGGGCGUAAAGGGCUCGCAGGCGGUUUCUUAAGUCUGAUGUGGAAGCCCCCGGCUCAACCGGGGAGGGUCAUUGGAAACUGGGAAACUUGAGUGCAGAAGAGGAGAGUGGAAUUCCACGUGUAGCGGUGAAAUGCGUAGAGAUGUGGAGGAACACCAGUGGCGAAGGCGACUCUCUGGUCUGUAACUGACGCUGAGGAGCGAAAGCGUGGGGAGCGAACAGGAUUAGAUACCCCCGUAGUCCCUGUCUCUUAUAC
rnacentral:rRNA from 1 species